rnacentral:misc_RNA from 1 species
GGAAUUCGUGUCUUGAAAGGCUAGCCCUUUCCCCUUCACAUUGAGGCCGCCGAGUUUUUGCCGCGCCUCCCUCGCCUCCCUUUCGGCUCCACCUCUGUCCGACAACCCUCUUUAUGCUGCGACAACCUUUACCGCCAUGAAAAACGUACUCCUCAUCGGUGCUUGCGGCGCCCUUGGUCGUGCCGUGGCGAACGCCUUUGCCAAAGGCAAAUGGUCCAUCAUCAGUGUAGACCAGGCAGCUGCUGUCCAGCAGGGCGAUGGCUGCGGUGCUGUCAACCCGGCAAGCUCCAUCGAGGAGCUGCAGCAGGCCUACAAGUCUGCGGUCACCGGACUCAAAGUUGACGCAGUGAUCAACGUGGCGGGCGGUUGGGCCGGCGGCUCUGUCGCGGACGCCAGAACUGCUGCCUCGACGGAGCUGAUGCUGAGACAAUCGCUCUUUUCCUCCGUAGCGGCGGCACAUGUGUUCAGUACGCAGGGUGAAAAAGAUGGACUGCUUCUUCUCACUGGCGCAGCGGCUGCUCUGAGUCCCACACCUGGCAUGAUUGGAUACGGCACAGCAAAGUCUGCAGUCCACUUUCUCUGCCAGUCUAUUGCGGCAGACCCAUCUGUGUUGCCAACAGAUGCGAGUGUUCUGGCUAUCCUUCCCACUAUCCUUGACACUCCCGGAAAUAGAAGUGCGAUGCCUCACGCUGACCGCUCCACGUGGACGUCACUCGAGGACGUCGCGCAGCAGAUCGUUGAGUGGAGCAAUGGAAGUCGUCGUCCUGCUAGCGGAUCACUCGUCAAGAUCGUCACAGAAAACUCGAAGACGCGUUUCAUUGUGUAGCAACGUAAAGUGCCCAACUCUCCCACAGGCCGGAGAGGCUUGUGUGAACUGUGUCAGGGAACGCAGCGUGGCUGCGCGUGCGUAGUAGGAGCGGAGUGCUUACCAUCUCAGGAGGGAAAACUUCUGUUCAGCGAUCUAAAUAGCCCUUACUCGGAUGAGACGUUCACCGUGCGCGCUUUGCUCUGCUCAUCACGUUUGAUGGCACAUGUGCACCACACAUCACCACCCAACCCAAGAGCGACGAUCUUGUCGGCAGCACGACCGGACGACCAACGCGUGAAGUGGUAAGAGCUCGCAAUGGAUCACUGGCCACUCUGCCUGUAUGCGCGCACACGAGGCGCCACACCUACCCCCUCCUCUCUGUACUCUUGCACUUCGUCGUUGAUUCUGCUCAG